GACGAACGCUGGCGGCGUGCUUAACACAUGCAAGUCGAACGGAAAGGCCCUGCUUUUGUGGGGUGCUCGAGUGGCGAACGGGUGAGUAACACGUGAGUAACCUGCCCUUGACUUUGGGAUAACUUCAGGAAACUGGGGCUAAUACCGGAUAGGAGCUCCUGCUGCAUGGUGGUGGUUGGAAAGUUUCGGCGGUUGGGGAUGGACUCGCGGCUUAUCAGCUUGUUGGUGGGGUAGUUGCUUACCAAGGCUUUGACGGGUAGCCGGCCUGAGAGGGUGACCGGCCACAUGGGGACUGAGAUACGGCCCAGACUCCUACGGGAGGCAGCAGUGGGGAAUAUUGCACAAUGGGCGGAAGCCUGAUGCAGCAACGCCGCGUGCGGGAUGACGGCCUUCGGGUUGUAAACCGCUUUCGCCUGUGACGAAGCGUGAGUGACGGUAAUGGGUAAAGAAGCACCGGCUAACUACGUG
rnacentral:rRNA from 1 species